rnacentral:rRNA from 1 species
CAGCAGCCGCGGUAAUACGUAGGUGGCAAGCGUUGUCCGGAAUUAUUGGGCGUAAAGGGCUCGCAGGCGGUUUCUUAAGUCUGAUGUGAAAGCCCCCGGCUCAACCGGGGAGGGUCAUUGGAAACUGGGAAACUUGAGUGCAGAAGAGGAGAGUGGAAUUCCACGUGUAGCGGUGAAAUGCGUAGAGAUGUGGGGGAACACCAGUGGCGAAGGCGACUCUCUGGUCUGUAACUGACGCUGAGGAGCGAAAGCGUGGGGAGCGAACAGGAUUAGAGACCCCUGUAGUCCCUGUCUCUUAUAC